rnacentral:pre_miRNA from 1 species
GGAGUGCUGCUGCUCCUGGUAUAAAUGGGAACAAAAUCUAACUAAUCUCGGGUAGUUAGAUUUUGUUCCCAUUUAUACCAGGAGCAGCGUUAUUAGAGC